rnacentral:rRNA from 1 species
CACGUAGGGGGCAAGCGUUGUCCGGAUUUAUUGGGCGUAAAGAGCUCGUAGGCGGUUUCGUAAGUCGGGUGUGAAAACUCUAGGCUCAACCUAGAGACGCCACCCGAUACUGCGAUGACUAGAGUCCGGUAGGGGAGUGUGGAAUUCCUGGUGUAGCGGUGAAAUGCGCAGAUAUCAGGAGGAACACCGGUGGCGAAGGCGGAUCUCUGGGCCAUUACUGACGCUGGAGGAGCGAAAAGGCGUGGGGAGCGAACAGG